AGCGAAAUGCGAUAAGUAGUGUGAAUUGCAGAAUCCCGUGAACCAUCGAGUUUUUGAACGCAAGUUGCGCCCGAGGCCAUCAGGCUAAGGGCACGCCUGCCUGGGCGUCGUGUGCUACAUCUCUCCUCUGCCAAUGCUUGAUCGGCAUACAGCUAGGUUAUCAUUGUGC
rnacentral:rRNA from 1 species